GCAUCAUGUGGCAUAUCAUGUUUGUUCUUCCAUUUUUUGUUUAAUGUACAACUUCCUAGGAAUGGUAUUCUACUUGAGUAUAUACCACACAAACUGCGGGAUUUUUGUUUUGGUCAGUUUGUUUUUCCAAGUGUUAGUCAACUGCAGAAAGCCUACAAAAUGGAACUGCUGACAUAUUAAGUGAGCUUUAACAUGAUGAUAAUGUGACAGCAUGGUAUACAGGUGAAUAACCAGUUAGUUCUCAAGUUACAACUGGAAACGUAUUUAGAUAAGUUAGUUGUUCUAGAGGAAACUGGAGUAGAUGUACUUCUUUCAAAAUCGAAUAAAACAAAAAAAAAAUCAUCAUGCUCCUUGAAUCUCUGUUGCCUUUGAUUAACUUGAAGUCUUUUAGACAAUU